CACGUAGGGCGCGAGCGUUGUCCGGAAUUAUUGGGCGUAAAGAGCUCGUAGGCGGCCUGUUGCGUCCGCUGUGAAAGCCCGGGGCUUAACCCCGGGUCGGCAGUGGAUACGGGCAGGCUAGAGGUAGGUAGGGGAGAGUGGAAUUCCUGGUGUAGCGGUGAAAUGCGCAGAUAUCAGGAAGAACACCCGUGGCGAAGGCGGCUCUCUGGGACGGUACUGACGCUGAGACGCGAAAGCGUGGGGAGCGAACAGG
rnacentral:rRNA from 1 species